rnacentral:lncRNA from 13 species
AAAAGGGUGAAAAAAAAGAUCUGGAAGAGAUAGGAAACAAGCGGUUGGAGAGAAUGAGGAUAAAAAAAAUGAGUUCUGUCUGGGACGCAUUAUGUCUGCAGUGUUUGCAGGGAACCCAGAGAGAGAUGGAAUUUCGCUCUGUCACUGAGGCUGGAGUACAAUGGCGCUAUCUUGGCUCACUGCAACUUCCGCCUCCCGGGUUCAAGCAAUUCUCCUGCCUCAGCCGCCCGAGUAGCUGGGAUUACAGGUAUUCUUUCACCGACUAUACAAGGGGGUGGUAUCUGAUUGGGGAAAACUUUCCUUUGUUCUCCUGUUUCUGGGAGGGACUUCUGUCAUGGACGCUUGCAGCUUCUCUCCCCACAGGAGGAGAUACUGAAGAUGAACACUUUUUCCAGUUGGUGGGGUGCAAACGGUUUGCACAUCCAUCAGCCCACUGUUCUUUUCCCAGGUAG